UACGUAGGGCGCAAGCGUUGUCCGGAAUUAUUGGGCGUAAAGAGCUCGUAGGCGGCUUGUCACGUCGGGUGUGAAAGCCCGGGGCUUAACCCCGGGUCUGCAUUCGAUACGGGCUAGCUAGAGUGUGGUAGGGGAGAUCGGAAUUCCCGGUGUAGCGGUGAAAUGCGCAGAUAUCGGGAGGAACACCCGUAGCGAAGGCGGCACUCUGGGCCGGUACUGACGCUGAGGAGCGAAAGCGUGGGGAGCAAACAGG
rnacentral:rRNA from 1 species